rnacentral:lncRNA from 1 species
GUCCCGGGGGGGGUCCCGGGGGUCCCGGGGGGGGUCCCGGGGGGCGCCUGUGCGAGGCGCGGGAGGUGCGCAGGGUGCAAUGGCCCGCGGCCCAGCAGGGGGCGCUGGUGGAGAGACCCUGCCCCAAGGGGACCCGAGGCAUCGCCUCCUUCCAGUGCCUGCUGGGGCUGGGCGUGUGGAACCCCCGCGGGCCCGACCUGAGCAACUGCACCAGCCCCUGGGUCAACCAGGUGGCCCAGAAGAUCAAGAGCGGGGAGAACGCGGCGGCCAUCGCGGCGGAGCUGGCGCGCCACACGCGGGGCCCGGUGUUCGCCGGCGACGUCAGCUCGGCCGUGCGGCUGCUGGAGCAGCUCCUGGACAUCCUGGACGCGCAGCUGCAGGCGCUGCGCCCGCUCGAGAGGGAGUCCGCGGGCAAGAACUACAACAAGAUGCACAAGCGGGAGCGAACCUGCAAGGAUUACAUCAAGGUGAGGGGCGGGGCCAGCGGGGCGUGGCCGCGACAGUGGGAGGGGCUUGAGUGGGUGUGGCCAGGGUGGGGCUAGAGUGGGUGGGCGUGUCCCAUGGGUGUGAUUUGGGUGGGUGGGCGUGUCCCAUUGGUGUGAUUUGGGUGGGUGGGCGUGUCCCAUGGGUGUGAUUUGGGUGGGUGGGCGUGUCCCAUGGGUGUGAUUUGGGUGGGUGGGCGUGUCCCAUGGGUGUGGCCAGGGUGGGCGUGUCCCAUGGGUGAGAUUUGGGUGGGCGUGUCCCACAGGUGUGGUCUGGGUGGGCGUGUCCCAUGGGUGUGAUUUGGGUGGGCGUGUCCCAUGGGUGUGGAUUGGGUGGGCGUGUCCCAUGGGUGUGUUCCAGGUGGGCGUGUCCCAUUGGCGUGUCCCAUGGGUGGGUGUGUCCCAUGGGUGGGCGUGUCCCAUGGGUGUGAUUUGGGUGGGUGGGCG